UAUUCCACAUUUUCUGAUAAUGAGGCAAAAAUACUGGGGAAAAAAAGUUUCAUGAGAGAUAGCAAUAAGAAGAAAACUUUCAGCUGAAGGAUGUCUAGAUGAAAAAAGCAAGAUACACAAUCCCAUUUUAGAGCUGGGCACUGGGUUAUCCCAUGUGCAGUACCUAUCCUUCAGCAUCUAUGUAUCUACAACUUUUUCACAGGUGAGAGUGGAAACUUCCCCAGUCUUUGAGGACUAGGAACUCAUCUAUAAUGCAGGUCAAGUGAGAUGUGACAGGCACCAUCCAGGGUUAAAGAGUAUGACAGAAGUAACCAGGUGAGAACUUUCUUAUAAACUUAAAAUUAAUAUAUAUAUUAUAUAUUUCCCUAGAAGGAAGAUGUUUUCUUUAUUAAUCUGUUCAUCUCUGACACGGGUGCACUGAUUUCAUUGCAUGUCAGAGGCUAUCUGAUUUAAAAGAUGCAGAUA
rnacentral:lncRNA from 1 species